rnacentral:misc_RNA from 1 species
UUGAACAUUUUGGAGUUACUGUUGCUGGUCUUCAAUGAAGGCAUUGUGCACGUAUCUCUAAUCUAUUCAUCCACCUGUGCACUUUUUGUAGGAGUUUCUCUUAGAUUGGCUCUAUCUAAUAGGGUCGAUUUGAAAGGGCUUCUAUGUCUUACAAACUAGUUAAGCAUGUUAUAGAAUGGUACGUUUACUUGGGACUUCAUUGACCCUUUAAACUUUGUA